GGAGCCCAAGUCUCUGCACCGGAUUCCGGAGCACAAGCUCCACUGCGCAUGCGCACACGCCCUAGACCCAGGCUCAGGAGGACUGAGAAUUUUCUGACGGCAGUGCACCAUGGGAAGCUCUGAAGUUUCCGUAAUUCCUGGGCUCCAGAAAGAAGAAAAGGCGGCCGUGGAGAGACGAAGACUUCAUGUGCUGAAAGCUCUGAAGAAGCUAAGGAUUGAGGCUGAUGAGGCCCCAGCUGUUGCUGUGCUGGGCUCAGGCGGAGGACUGCGGGCUCACAUUGCCUGCCUUGGGGUCCUGAGUGAGAUGAAAGAACAGGGCCUGUUGGAUGCUGUCACGUACCUCGCAGGGGUCUCUGGAUCCACUUGUUUGAUCUGGAGCUGGGUUCUGAGCUGGAUGU
rnacentral:sRNA from 1 species